CGCGUAGGCGGCCCGGUAAGUCCGCUCUUAAAGUCCAAGGCUCAACCUUGGGAUGGGGUGGAUACUGCCGGGCUCGAGUCCGGAAGAGGCGAGUGGAAUUCCUGGUGUAGCGGUGGAAUGCGCAGAUAUCAGGAGGAACACCAAUAGCGAAGGCAGCUCGCUGGGACGGUACUGACGCUAAGGCGCGAAAGCGUGGGAGCGAACA
rnacentral:rRNA from 1 species